UAAUUUUUCUGUGUAUCUUCUUGUAAAUGACAAUAUAAUGUAUAAUGUUGUAGUUUGUAGCCCAGAGUAAUCUAUAGUACCGGUACUAUAGCUCAUAGUUCCCUGCUAAAUACACUCAAAUGGGAUCUAAUGCAUGCAUAGCGUGAUAAUAAGACGUAAUUAUGAGUCAGUCAUCUUGUAGGAUCUCCAUGCACUAUUCUUCUGGGGUACAUCCUAGCAAACUGGUCAAUCACAAUGGGGAUGUCCAGUCAUUCUAGUGUUAGUCAUUGCUUCUCAGUAUCUCUCAGUGGAGCAAGAGGUGACUGAGAUAGUGCAGAGGAUCUAUUAUGCAUGCAAUUAGCAUUACAUAACAACAUUGGAAUGGCAAUACUGAUUGCACAUGCUCAAUUGGGCGUGGUCAUGACUUGUAAUCGUUGUGUCAAUGAGAUAGAGCUGCACAGUUAGCUAGCUAGCUACUGAGUGAUACGAUUAGUUUCAUGGUUGUCUGGGAGGACAGGGGGGUGCUCAAGCCCCCAAAGCCCCCCAUUGUACACGCCACUGGGAAAUGAUCGAUGAACAGAUUGGUGUGAUCGACAAACCGAUUGGCAAUGAUUGAUGAUUGACCUGCCAUCCCCAUUCUGUCAUGCCUGAGUGGCGCUCCAUAUAAGCAGAGAUUGAAGAGAGAGGGAUAUGAAACUUGAUGACGUGUACAUACAAUCUGUGUUGCCCAAAAUGGGCGUGGCACAUUGUCUCUUUACUGCAAGUUCUAUGUAAAAUCAUGUAAAAUACUUUGUGGGACUGUAUCUCUGGACUUGCUGCUACAUAUAGAACAAAGUUGAUAUUAAAUGCAAGAGUGGACCUUUGGGAAGUGCAACAGCUCAUCAACUAAGAGCCAAGAGACAGCUUGUUCGAUCACUUCAACUUUUUUGACCUCUUGUACUUGUCCUGGAGCAAAAUUUUGCAAAAUUGUACACUAAAAAUCAAUUAUACUUUCAGCAUCAGAGCGAUCUAGCCUUUGAGACAGGCACAAGUACAUAGAAUACAUAGCUAACAUUAAAACUCAUCACUGAACCAUCUUAUGAAAACCAACUUGCUUUCUGCUACAGUCCCACAAAGGCUAGUAUAGCCAAUAAACCAGGGAAUCUGGCGUUCUGGAUUUUAUUGCCACCAAAUAUAUUUUAAAACAAUCUGUGGCUAGUCAAUUAUAUGAUAAUAAUUCUUCAAGUGAGUCAUCCAGCUUCCCAUGGGCCUGUUUUGUUUUAUUUACAAAUUAAACCGCCAUUUUUAUAGCAACACGGAGUGCCUAAACUUUUUACUCUGAUUUACAUUGAGCACAUAAGCUCACGUGACUAGUUUCAUAUCCCCUUCUCUUCAAUCUCUGAUGAGUAAGCUACAGAGUUUUUCAGGUUGCUUGCAAAAGUUGAAUUGUGGAAAUUUGACUCGCGUGUGUUUUGCUCACGUGCCUCAGCCUUAUAAGUCAAAAUUAAAGUGGGCAGGGAGUACAGGCAUUGUAGCUCGAUUGUAGCUAGCUAGCUGAACAACACACAUUCAAAGCUUUGUACUAGACUUUAAGUUGCUAGACCCUCAGAGAAGAAGUGAGUGGGAUCUUAGAUCUGUAGUGUAGUAUUACUUGCUGGAGAGCAUAAUUCACCAGCAUACAUACAAUAAUAAUUGAAUUGUGUGUAUGCUGGAGAAAUCCUAUAUGCUCUCCAAUAAUAUAUACUGCAAUCCUAGAAUCCUAUAGGCUGGCUCCCAAUUCUUCUGUUUUACUGCUGAGUUGAGUAUUUUCUGGGGAUCUGUCUUUAAAAAGUCUAGACGAACCUGUAUGAAUUUGACAAAAUAUAUUACAGUGUCAGAUUAUCACUCCCUUCAUUUGUAUGAACACUGAACAACUUCUAAAAUUGUGCUGUUUUUUGCUAUCAUUUCUCUCCCCCACCCACUCUUAUAAGCUAAUUAAGGCUAAGGCACGUGAGCAAAACAUCACGUGAGUUAAAUUUCCACAAUUAAUUGUUGCAAAAACUCUGAAAAACUCUGUAGCUAGCUAGUGAGCCAGCCAACAAACUAUUCCAUGUGGUGAUCACUCAACUCCAAAUAAAGAUCACCAUUAGGUCAUUGAGAUAAGAGCCAUGUGCUUCCAGAGAUGUGCUUCAGCUAGCCAUGUGCUUUUAUAGAAAAGAAGUUGAACUUUUGUCUGGAUGUAGGUACCUAGUACCUAGUUUGGAGAAAAAUAGAGGUGCAUUCAGGGCCACAAAAAAUGCUGCAGAUUUCAGAUGGUGGUGUUUCGAGCAAUGACUAUUUGUAGACACCAAAACGACUAGAAAGAGGAGGAAAAACAUAGUGUGAGCCAUGCAGUAUGAUGUUGAUGUAUUUUUAAACGUUUGUUUUUAUAAAUACGUAGUGUCUCCCCUAGCCUCGACUCCAGCCCCUUGAAUAGUGGGCCUGGUAUUUACUGUUGGCGCGUGGGUGGACAAUUAAUUUAUUAUUUACCGUAUUUUAUCUCAUUGAACGUUAAAACAGUAUUUUAUCUUAUUGUGAUAAAGAACAAAAAGGAGAGGCUACCUCUCUGUAUAUACUGUAGACAGAGACAGCUAAGUAAAACAUCAGCUCUGUAGAUUUAUUCAUUAACUUGAGGCUCGGAUCGGAUACACACUCAGGCGACAAGUUAAUCUUAGUUAAACCUGUGGGUAAAAAAUAAAUGUGGAUAAGUACAGUGGCUGUGACGUAACAUAAUGUGAGGACUACUUAUUGAUUUACACAAUAGAUUUACCAUUGAAAGCACUAUCCAUUAAUACACACUCAAGCAACAAGUCCCUCGGAUCGGAUACACACAAGUCCCUCGGAUUGUAAACACAUUCAGGCCACACAGUUCUCGGACCAGAUACCACGUACUUACUCUGUGACCAAUUUUCGGCAAAUGUCACAACAAUACUGCCUUCCAGAGAGAAUGGCACUGAACGUCGAACAGACACACCAACACUUUGAAGAUGGCUUCACUCAGAGAAACAAGAGGAGAAAUCACCAUCACAACACUUCUUUCAGAGAGAGGUGCACUGGUCCUGUCAAGCUUCACAUCAAUCAAGAAAGGGAGUGUCUGGAAAGCAGAUGGACUUGCUCUGGGACUUGCCAUAGCCUAGCCGGUCGGUACGGUACCCACAUAAACACCAGCGUACAGACACUUCAACGCCUCCAGCUGCUUGUCUUUCAAGACUAGACCUGGUUUUCCAACACAGGAUAACACGUACGCGAGAGCAGAAGAGAAGGUAGCAGCCAUUACACAACUUGGACUAGAUUUCUUUUUUCAAUGACAUCAUUAUAAAUGAAACGGAUAUCAAUGUUUUACAAACUAAUGCGGAAUAAGAAUACUGAUAAAUAUACUGCAAUUUACGAUUACCCAGAUUCUGGGUAAUUCUGGCGCAUGCGUAAACAGUGUAUACAGGCCGUCUUUCUCAGCGGCUUGGAAUCGAGGCUAUGUCUCCCCCAUCUCUAGCUAUAGCUCCUGUCCAGAAGUAACACCCUCGCUCGAAGAGUCUCUCAGGAUAAGUUUUCUUUUUUUAUGCCAAUAGUACACUUAUUAAGGUAGCUUCAGUGUUACGGAUUCACUAUAAUUAUUUCGGCACAAAUUGUUUUCUUAGUCUAAUUAUUCGCAUAUAACUUAGGUAAUUUCACAGUUUUGAUUUUCUAAUUAAUGCUCUAAACACGAAAAAUGUGUAACACACCAAAUAAUUUGUAAGAAAUUGUUGUCCUAACCGUUGAUUUCUCCCUUACAGUUGGAUAGGGAUCAAUUGGAUCUGGUCACCUAUAUACAAGCACUCAUCACAGCCACAGGACCGUGCAGUGGGUAUAUACAGAUCAAGAUGUCUUCUCUGCCAAUUCCAUAUGGUAUGCCUACUUUGACUCAACUCUUGUGUUUUGUAUAAUUUUCUGUCACGCAUAUAGAUUUUGUGUUUAUGAUUAUCAAUGCAAACA